rnacentral:tRNA from 1 species
GCGAGAGUGGCGAAAUUGGCAGACGCGCACGUUUAAGGGGCGUGUGGAUUUCCGUACGGGUUCAAGUCCCGUCUCUCGCACCA